UGUCCAGACUCCUACGGGAGGCAGCAGUGAGGAAUAUUGGUCAAUGGGCGCGAGCCUGAACCAGCCAAGUCGCGUGAGGGAAGACGGUCCUAUGGAUUGUAAACCUCUUUUGUCGGGGAGCAAAAGACGCCACGCGUGGCGUUCCGAGAGUACCCGGAGAAAAAGCAUCGGCUAACUCCGUGCCAGCAGCCGCGGUAAUACGGAGGAUGCGAGCGUUAUCCGGAUUUAUUGGGUUUAAAGGGUGCGUAGGCGGGAUGCCAAGUCAGCGGUAAAAAUGCGGUGCUCAACGCCGUCGAGCCGUUGAAACUGGCGUUCUUGAGUGGGCGAGAAGUAUGCGGAAUGCGUGGUGUAGCGGUGAAAUGCAUAGAUAUCACGCAGAACUCCGAUUGCGAAGGCAGCAUGCCGGCUCCACACUGACGCUGAGGCACGAAAGCGUGGGUAUCGAACAGGAUUAGAUACCCUUGUA
rnacentral:rRNA from 1 species